rnacentral:tRNA from 1 species
UCCUGGUGGCUCCAAUGGUAAAGAUCUGCCUGGAAUGCAGAAGACCCAGGUUCAAUCCCUGGGUCAGGAA